GGGCCGUUAGCUCAGUUGGUAGAGCAGGGGCCUUUUAAGCCCAGGGUCGCGGGUUCGAUUCCUGCACGGCCCA
rnacentral:tRNA from 1 species